UACGGGGGGGGCAAGCGUUGUUCGGAAUUACUGGGCGUAAAGGGCUCGUAGGUUGCCAACUAAGUCAGACGUGAAAUCCCUCGGCUUAACCGGGGAACUGCGUCUGAUACUGGAUGGCUUGAGUUCGGGAGAGGGAUGCGGAAUUCCAGGUGUAGCGGUGAAAUGCGUAGAUAUCAAGUGGAACACCAGUGGCGAAGGCGAGUCUCUGGACAUUUCCUGACGCUGAGGCACGAAAGCCAGGGGAGCAAACGGG
rnacentral:rRNA from 1 species